rnacentral:misc_RNA from 1 species
UUGAAACAAGGGGGUCGUUCCGGUGAGCCCUGCGCCGACGGAGACGUCGUGCUGCGGGACCCGGUCGGCCUCGUCCACCCUCACACCCCUGUGCACCUUUGGGAAGGCGGGCCUCGGCGCCCGUCGGCCCGCUCACAAACUCUUGUAAUGUACUUUGAAUGUCAUCGUGGACUAUGUGCCGCUAGAAGCAGUAA